ACCAUGCAUGAAAAAUUACCUUAAAAAGUUACUUCUUUGAACAACAUCUUUUACUCUUAUUUUCAGGAUUAUUGAUAAGGGCGUACAAAGAAACCUACAAUAUAGGACCCCCAUUUAAGAGAGUCUCGAAAUUUUUUUGUUAUCAUGUUGUCCUGAUUUUCAUACUCUAAUUAAGUACUAACGAUUUUUAUGAAGAUUGAUAAUGAUACAAGUAUAAAAUAUAAUUUAAUGUUUGAAAGUUAUGCAUCACAAUUUUAUAUUUUAAGACUAAUUCUAAUAAGUGAAAGUAUUGGGUCAUACCGUCUGACCCAAUAUGUUUGGUUGGACGAAGCAAUCUUUUGCCAAUUUUUGCUUCGCAGUUGGAGAGAGAAAGAUAGAAACAGAGAUUAAGAGAGAGAGAGAGAAAUAGAGCAGGAUUGAAAUAACACACAUUAAAUUCAAGAUCUCAGCAAAUAACACACAUUAAAAACUUUAGCCUGUCAAGAAUUCAAGCUUUGCAGUUUGGAAGUGUAUGAUUUCAGCAAAUACAGAUUCAUAUAAGAGCCAUCAUCAGCCUGUCAAGAAUUCAAGAUUCCAUUUAUCUACAGUUAGCUAUUGAAUCAUAUCUGAGCUACAUCCAAUCAUAUCAAGUAUCUGAUAUGGGAAAAGUUUCCCCAUACGGAUAUGGGAGUACACUUUCUCCAAGAAAUAUUCCCUUCAAUUUUUAUUAGUUUACCCGUUUUGACUUUACUAUUUACAUAUAUGACUUUGAUUAUUUCUUGUAAUUUGUAUUCAAGGAAAAAUAUAGUCAUGUGAGAUGUUGUUGGAUUCGUCUCAAUGUGUAUUAUCCAAAUAUCAACUUUUUGUAAGUUUUCCUUAUUGAAAAUUAGAAAUAUUAAGGUUCAAAUUAGUAUUUCGGCAAAUGUGCCUAAAACAAAGGGUAAACAAAUUAAAUUAAGAGGGAAUAAUAGCUAACUCGUUUUUUUAGGUCCGAGUUACGCCCUUGGUGAAGAAAAAUUUUAUUUAAUAAUAUUUGAUUUUGAAAUAAUAACAUCAAAUGUCACAUGGUUUAUGGUUAAUACUUCAAUAUAUAAGCUUGAAGUCACGAGACCAAAUCUUAUACAAUUCAAUUUUUUUUUUUUUUUAUUGAAUGUGUAUUAUAUAGAAUAAAAUAUCCUUUAGUGAGAGUGCCACAUGACAUCGUUUUUGUUUAGUAACACAUUAAUAAUGAUAAGCGCUCUCAAAGAUUACAAGAUAGAGAUAGUAGUACACAUAACUCGAACUCAACAUUACUCUUUAAACUGCGCUUAAACCCCACUGAAAUUGGUUCACAAAUCAAAUUUCAAACCAUAAGCUUCUACUUCAUGAUUCUGAAUUUUACAGUAAAGAUUAUGAAGUUUACAGCAAAGAUAACAACUUUAAUUGAAUAAGAUAUUUGAAUCAUAUCAGGAAUCAUUUAUAGCACAAAUUUUACCUUGUGCGGUGCCGAAGGGACGAGAUUGAGUUUGCUCCAUCUGAAAAAAAAAACCUAAAUAAUCUCAACUGAACACUAGGGAAAAAAAAGGAAGGGUUGCGCUUUCUUCAUUACGCAACCCUUCUAUAUAGUAGGGCUGCACUUUUAAAUAAAACGCAACCCUUCGUUAAAGUAGGGUUGCGUUUUAAUAGACAAGCGCAGCCCUGUUUUGUGAAGGGUUGCGCUUGUUUAAAAAGCGCAGCCCUACUGUUACAAAAGGGCUGCGCUUUUUAAAAAAGCGCAGCCCUACUGUUACAGAAGGGCUGCGCAUUUUUAAAAAGCGCAACCCUUCUAUGGGCUUUUUUUUAAAAGAAUUACGCAGCCCUCACAAUUUAAACUCUCUCCUUUCUCUUCUCUCUCUCACGCCUCCAUCUUCUCUCUCACCCUCCCUCUUCUCUCUCUUCUCUCUCACCCUCCCAGACAAACAAAAGCGCAAAAAUAUCAACCAAACAAAAACCCAGAAAAAAAAACAAAAAUUACGGCAUACUUGAAUCGAAGACGACAUACUUGAAUCGAAGCUAUUUUGAAUAGGAAGAACAAAGCUUGUAGAUCAGUUUUUGCUGUAUAGUCCGAAACAAAAAAAAGAGAGGAGGAAUCCGGGUUAACAAUCUCACUGAGAUCGAUACCGGAAACAUUCAUGACAGGAACAUCCGGCAAAGGCGGGACCUCGUACCGGUCUUGAAGAUCGGAAAUGUAAAUAGUGAGAGAUUUUCUCUCUCCUCCGUCGUAAAAAACCCAGACUUUAUGGAAAAUGGUGCUAACAGGAGCAAGAGUGAUGCUGAAAUCGGAGAGAGAAACUGUGUGGUUAGAUCGGAUGGAAUUGAUGUUGAGUCCAAGAUGGUUAUCAUCAGGGUCGUAAGGUCCAUUCUGGAAGGUGUCAAACUCGAUUUAUAUCUUAAUCUUUGUUUUGAUUAAUGUUCUUGUAUUUUCAGAUCUAUAAUUUUUUCUCUUCUGUAUUUUAGUUUUUGUUCCUUUUUUUUCAUUUUCGUUCUUCUGUAUUUUAGUUUUAGUUUUUGUUCCUUUUUUUUCAUUUUCGUUCUUCUGUAUUUAGUUUUAGUUUUUGUUCCUUUUUUUUCAUUUUCUUGUUCCUUUUUUUUCAUUUUCGUUCUUCUGUAUUUUAGUUUUAGUUUUUGUUCCUUUUUUUUCAGUUUCGUUCUUCUGUAUUUUAGUUUUAGUUUUUGUUCCCUUUUUUUCAUUUUCGUUCUGCAAUUAUGUGAUAAAAAUUUUUGAUUUUCUGUUUUA